rnacentral:tRNA from 1 species
AGAAAAGUAAGCUAAACGUAAGCUAAUGGGUUCAUACCCCAUACAUAGAGUAUUCUACUCUCUUCUCUA